rnacentral:rRNA from 1 species
GGUAUCAGAAGUGCGAAUGCUGACAUAAGUAACGAUAAAGCGGGUGAAAAGCCCGCUCGCCGGAAGACCAAGGGUUCCUGUCCAACGUUAAUCGGGGCAGGGUGAGUCGACCCCUAAGGCGAGGCCGAAAGGCGUAGUCGAUGGGAAACGGGUUAAUAUUCCCGUACUUGGUGUUACUGCGAAGGGGGGACGGAGAAGGCUAUGUUGGCCGGGCGACGGUUGUCCCGGUUUAAGCGUGUAGGUGUGUGUUCCAGGUAAAUCCGGUUCACUUUAACACUGAGGCGUGACGACGAGGCACUACGGUGCUGAAGCAACAAAUGCCCUGCUUCCAGGAAAAGCCUCUAAGCAUCAGGUAACACGAAAUCGUACCCCAAACCGACACAGGUGGUCAGGUAGAGAAUACCAAGGCGCUUGAGAGAACUCGGGUGAAGGAACUAGGCAAAAUGGUGCCGUAACUUCGGGAGAAGGCACGCUGACACGUAGGUGAAGUGAUUUACUCAUGGAGCUGAAGUCAGUCGAAGAUACCAGCUGGCUGCAACUGUUUAUUAAAAACACAGCACUGUGCAAACACGAAAGUGGACGUAUACGGUGUGACGCCUGCCCGGUGCCGGAAGGUUAAUUGAUGGGGUCAGCGCAAGCGAAGCUCCUGAUCGAAGCCCCGGUAAACGGCGGCCGUAACUAUAACGGUCCUAAGGUAGCGAAAUUCCUUGUCGGGUAAGUUCCGACCUGCACGAAUGGCGUAAUGAUGGCCAGGCUGUCUCCACCCGAGACUCAGUGAAAUUGAACUCGCUGUGAAGAUGCAGUGUACCCGCGGCAAGACGGAAAGACCCCGUGAACCUUUACUAUAGCUUGACACUGAACAUUGAGCCUUGAUGUGUAGGAUAGGUGGGAGGCUUUGAAGUGUGGACGCCAGUCUGCAUGGAGCCGACCUUGAAAUACCACCCUUUAAUGUUUGAUGUUCUAACGUGGACCCGUAAUCCGGGUUGCGGACAGUGUCUGGUGGGUAGUUUGACUGGGGCGGUCUCCUCCUAAAGAGUAACGGAGGAGCACGAAGGUUGGCUAAUCCUGGUCGGACAUCAGGAGGUUAGUGCAAUGGCAUAAGCCAGCUUGACUGCGAGCGUGACGGCGCGAGCAGGUGCGAAAGCAGGUCAUAGUGAUCCGGUGGUUCUGAAUGGAAGGGCCAUCGCUCAACGGAUAAAAGGUACUCCGGGGAUAACAGGCUGAUACCGCCCAAGAGUUCAUAUCGACGGCGGUGUUUGGCACCUCGAUGUCGGCUCAUCACAUCCUGGGGCUGAAGUAGGUCCCAAGGGUAUGGCUGUUCGCCAUUUAAAGUGGUACGCGAGCUGGGUUUAGAACGUCGUGAGACAGUUCGGUCCCUAUCUGCCGUGGGCGCUGGAGAACUGAGGGGGGCUGCUCCUAGUACGAGAGGACCGGAGUGGACGCAUCACUGGUGUUCGGGUUGUCAUGCCAAUGGCACUGCCCGGUAGCUAAAUGCGGAAGAGAUAAGUGCUGAAAGCAUCUAAGCACGAAACUUGCCCCGAGAUGAGUUCU